GCUCACCCACUCCGAUCUUCCCUUUGAUUUCCGGUACAGUUACACGGAGAGCAGCCUGACGGUAAGGCCCAUUGGGCUUAGGGAGCCUAAGUACUCGCCAUUUGGUCCAGGCCGUUUGGACCGAGUAUGGACCGGUGCUUGUGCACCGGCCGUUGACCCGAAGGUGAAGUCAUUGGAAGGGAAGGACUAUCCGAAUUUGGAGGAGAAGAGGAGGAUGAUGAGACAGGAAAUUCAAGGGGAGCCGCUUAACAACGCUGAGAGGAUGAUGAGACAGGAAAUUCAAGGGG
rnacentral:misc_RNA from 1 species